rnacentral:rRNA from 1 species
UGUAAAUUGGUGGCAGCCGCCGGGGUGAUAGGAAGGGUGGAAGCGUUAAUCGGAAUUACUGGGCGUAAAGCGCGCGUAGGUGGUUUGUUAAGUUGGAUGUGAAAGCCCCGGGCUCAACCUGGGAACUGCAUCCAAAACUGGCAAGCUAGAGUACGGUAGAGGGUGGUGGAAUUUCCUGUGUAGCGGUGAAAUGCGUAGAUAUAGGAAGGAACACCAGUGGCGAAGGCGACCACCUGGACUGAUACUGACACUGAGGUGCGAAAGCGUGGGGAGCAAACAGGAUUAGAUACCCGUGUAGUC